AUUUUAAAGAAAACAAAAUCAGAAAGCCAAUUUACAACAUGAAGGACUGUAAUACAAUGAGCGCAAGCAAAUAGGGACUGAAAACGCAAAUAAAUUGAACCCCUAAAACAAAGCGUUUCAGUGCGAAUUGAUUUGCAACGGCGCAUAAAUUCCGGGGACAAAUUAAACGAAUUAAAAAACUUGAACAUGGUCUGAUUGAAUGUUAGCGCAAGAGCGAGGGACUAAUUACGGAAAUCGACCAUUAGGGGGAAAGAAGCGUCGAUCCGGACCAUCCGAAGGGCCAGCGCGUGGAUCCCCCCUUUUUGCUCAAACGGCGCCGUUUUAUCCAUUAUUAAAAACAGAUUUUUUUUUAAACCAUUUUCAGCCUUGUAUUUUAGAAAACCCUAAAACUUUUCCUUUUGAGGUUCUCUCAUUUCCCCUUUUUCGACCGGCGCCACCCUCAUCGGAGAUCAGGCGCGCCUAGGCCACCGACGUUGCGAGUUCGCUGGUAAGUUUCCUCUCUCUCUCUUGUAUUUUUUAAAACUGUUUGAAAAAUAAUGAAAAAGAAAGAAAGUACAAAGGAAAUACGAAUUUCCAGAAAAAAGAAUGAAAAAUCACCUUUCAAACCUUAGGUCCGAUUUUCGAUUUACAAUUGACUUUUUCCUAUUCUCUCCUAUUGUUUUCGUAAAAAAAAAGAUCCUUUUUACACUUGUUUCGAUUCGGUUUUAUAGCCGAUUCUUUUACAACUUGUUUUACAUGUUUAUAGGUUCGUGAUCGAACGUGCCACUGACGUGGCGUGGUGGAGAGGCGCACGACGCGGAGGGACGCGCGACGUGCGGCGCCUAAAGGCUUGCUAUUUGCUGAAACGGCGCAAAAGGGGCUGCUAUGGUUUCCCAUGCCGAAAAUGUUUUGGGUUUGUGGGCCAAUUGGGCCGUUUUUGUAAAUAGGUAUUUAAGGUUUGGGGUAAGGUUUUAUUUCUUUGGGUUUGGGUCUAUUUUUGUUGGGUUUUGGCUUCUAGUAGUUUGGGCCGGGCAAAUUUUGGGCCCUACAAUAACUAUCAUCAAAUAACAACCCAAAGGUCCCAAAUCACCUGGACUGUGCAUGAUUUCUAUCCCUUGGUAGAACUAGGAUGUUCAAACGGUUAGUUCGGUUAAUAUUCGAAUUGAAUUACUUAAAAUGUAAAGAUUUUUAACCAUUAAUUGAAUCAAUUUUUUUUUAAAAUAUAUUAAUUGAACCAAAAUAUUUCGGUUAAUACAGUUAUCUAAUAGAAUUAACUUGAUUUUAUGUCUUUGUACAUUGUUAAUGUUCAUUUUCUUUUAUUUAAUAGUUUAAAAAACUUUAAAUGGAGACGAAAAUAAUAAAUAA
rnacentral:lncRNA from 1 species